GUCCUAAUUACGCUUCUACAACGAUCCCGCUACGAUUAAACCACGUUCUCACCGCGCUUAUUCUGCGACCUCACUACGCUUAUAAAGAUCUUUCUACGCUCUUCACGUUCUCACUACGACCAUACCACGAGUUAUCCGAUUGCAACACGAUCUUACUGCGAUUAUAGCACGUUCUUACCACGAUUACACUACGUUCAUACCGCGAUCUUACUACGUUCUCAGCAAUACCGUCAAUAUCGUGUUUCAUAUCAAUAUAGUUCCAUUCCUUCUAUUUCUGAUUAAAACAAGGAUUUCUCGGAAACAAUACAGUCAUGCCACCAAAAUCUACUAGAACACGUGGGCGUGGUGAUAGGGGUUGAUGUAGAGGCAGAGGGAGCAAAGUAUGAACGCCAUACUAAACUCCAAAUAGUACACAAGAAACUAAAAUUAAAAAUAGUACAAGACUAACAAAGGCCAGAGGCUCCUGACUUGGGACAGGCGCAAAAAUAGUGGGGUUAAACAUGUUUGUGAGAUCUCAACCCUCCCCCUAUACCUCUAGCCAAUGAAGAAAAGUAAACGCAGAACAAUACGCACAUUAAAAUUCAGUUCAAGAGAAGUCCGAGUCUGAUGUCAGAAGAUGUGACUAAAGAAAAUAAACAAAAUGACAAUAAUACAUAAAUAACAACAGACUACUAGCAGUUAACUGACAUGCCAGCUCCAG
rnacentral:lncRNA from 1 species